rnacentral:rRNA from 1 species
CCACCACUAAGCCAGUGGUGAACUCCACAUACGCAUCCUUUGCUGAGGAUACGGUUAACGGAGCGAAAGCGACGUUCAACCUCAAAAGAAGCAGAGGGGGCUUAGUGGUGGGGUGACUGCGUACCUUUUGUAUAAUGGGUCAGCGACUUAUAUUCUGUAGCAAGGUUAACCGAAUAGGGGAGCCGCAGGGAAACCGAGUCUUAACCGGGCGUUAAGUUGCAGGGUAUAGACCCGAAACCCGGUGAUCUAGCCAUGGGCAGGUUGAAGGUUGGGUAACACUAACUGGAGGACCGAACCGACUAAUGUUGAAAAAUUAGCGGAUGACCUGUGGCUGGGGGUGAAAGGCCAAUCAAACCGGGAGAUAGCUGGUUCUCCCCGAAAGCUAUUUAGGUAGCGCCUCGUGAAUUCAUCUCCGGGGGUAGAGCACUGUUUCGGCUAGGGGGCCAUCCCGGCUUACCAACCCGAUGCAAACUGCGAAUACCGGAGAAUGUUAUCACGGGAGACACACGGCGGGUGCUAACGUCCGUCGUGAAGAGGGAAACAACCCAGACCGCCAGCUAAGGUCCCAAAGUCAUGGUUAAGUGGGAAACGAUGUGGGAAGGCCCAGACAGCCAGGAUGUUGGCUUAGAAGCAGCCAUCAUUUAAAGAAAGCGUAAUAGCUCACUGGUCGAGUCGGCCUGCGCGGAAGAUGUAACGGGGCUAAACCAUGCACCGAAGCUGCGGCAGCGACGCUGAUGCGUUGUUGGGUAGGGGAGCGUUCUGUAAGCCUGUGAAGGUGGCCUGUGAGGGUUGCUGGAGGUAUCAGAAG